CGCCCUGUGGCGCGUGGGAGUUGGAUUUGCAAGCGAGCGUAGGAGGUCAGCGGUAGUUCAGCAUUAGCAUAUAGCAUUAGCAUAUCCUAGUCUUAGCAUAUCUUUUAGUGUUAUAAAUACUUAUUUAGUGUUAGCUUGGCUGUUGGAUAUUGUAGUUUAGUUAGUGUUUGGCUGUUAGUGUAAUUGGGAAAGUAUUUCGGGUUUAGUGUUCAUAUCGUCUUAGUAUUGGUGAGAUGGUGUAAUGUAGUAUGCUUGCGGUGACUCUGUGGGCAUUUUACCCGCGAUUCUGCACGUCUCCGUUUGAAGAGGGAGGCUGCCCACCGUGGCUCUUCCGCGAUUUAGAUGCAGCCCACCGACUCUGCUCCCCCACCACGGCGGGCUCCAGUCUGAGGUGAGUCAGCUAAAUAAACGUUUUAACAUCUUCUAAAGACAAUUCCCUACCUAAAUGCAAAGUCUGAGAGACGUGGUUCACUUCCUUUAGCUAGUCAGUCGGCAAUUCUGCAACAGUGGCUCUAACUGACGCAGCACUAGUUGACAGACAGCAUUACAGCGUGAAAUCCAGCUUGUGACCCGGUUCUGUGAGGAAUUCUGUUCAGGAGGUCGCAUUUCAGGCUCUCCACAUCAUGUGUGACUGACUUUUACGUUAUAACAACGAUCACACACUAGGAAUGUUAUAAAGCGCCUAUAUAGGAGAUUCUUUUGUAUAUUAUCUGACUUUAUAAACUCCAACAACAAUGUGCUUCUAUUUUUUUUUCAGGCUAAAUCUACCCAAGACACUGGUUGUCAGACUGAUUUAGUAGUCUGCAAGAAUGCACUUGUCCAGGCUGAUGUGAAACCUUCCCUGUAGCAAAGGUGAAUUAUUUUUAAUAAUCUUCUAUGUAAACAUUUUAUUAUCACCUUCUAGUUUUAAUUUGUUUUACAGAUUAUUGUUACACGUGAUUUUAUGCUCUUUUAAACAUUUAUAAAUGUGCUGCUUCUUUGUUUUUACAUAGCCAGCCAGAAUGGAGUUCACAGCCGCAGUGUGUCUGGUGACCCACAGGGACCAUGAUGAAAAUUCAUCUUCCAGAAAGUCCCAGAGCGUCCAGACCCCCUGAAAAGACCAAGAUGUAAGGUGUCUGCUGUUGAUUCCAGCUUCCACCUCAGUGACAGUGCAAGCUCAGUGAACUGUUCAAGGACACUCAGCAAAAUAUGGACUCUACACCAUGAGGCAUGCACACAUUAAUACUCUAUAAGAGCACAUAAGGUGAGCAACACCACAUAUUGUACACUGUCCUGAAUUUGUUUUCUUUCUGCAUCUCAUUAGCCUGGCUGAUCACCUGAUAACUCCUGUCAUCUGGUUAUGACAGCAUGAGGAUGUCCUCACACACCUGUAACCUAUCAGCUCAUCCUGCUGAAUAGAGAGAGAAGAGACAACACCACAUCUCCUGUUCCUGGAAAGCCUUCAGCCAUCCUUCGAUGACUGAGAACCUCCAUCAGCUCUGUCUCCUGUCUGCCUACAAUUAUUAUAAUAAAUAUUGUGUUUGACAA